rnacentral:rRNA from 1 species
UGGGGAAUAUUGCACAAUGGGCGAAAGCCUGAUGCAGCGACGCCGCGUGAGGGAUGACGGCCUUCGGGUUGUAAACCUCUUUCAGCAGGGAAGAAGCGAAAGUGACGGUACCUGCAGAAGAAGCGCCGGCUAACUACGUGCCAGCAGCCGCGGUAAUACGUAGGGCGCAAGCGUUGUCCGGAAUUAUUGGGCGUAAAGAGCUCGUAGGCGGUUAGUCGCGUCUGCUGUGAAAAUCUCGAGGCUCAACCUCGGGCUUGCAGUGGGUACGGGCUGACUAGAGUGCGGUAGGGGUGACUGGAAUUCCUGGUGUAGCGGUGGAAUGCGCAGAUAUCAGGAGGAACACCGAUGGCGAAGGCAGGUCACUGGGCCGCAACUGACGCUGAGGAGCGAAAGCAUGGGGAGCGAACAGGAUUAGAUAGCCCUGGUAGUCCAUGCCGUAAACGUUGGGCACUAGGUGUGGGGUCCAUUCCACGGAUUCCGUGCCGCAGCAAGCGC